rnacentral:rRNA from 1 species
GACGAACCGUGCGAACGUUAUUCGGAAUCACUGGGCUUAAAGCGCGUGUAGGCGGGACGGCACGUCGGUCGCUGAAAUCCCCCGGCUCAACCGGGGAACGGGCGCCGAUACGACCGCCCUGGAGGGACGUAGGGGGACCUGGAACUUCCGGUGGAGCGGUGAAAUGCGUUGAGAUCGGAAGGAACGCCCGUGGCGAAAGCGAGGUCCUGGACGUUUUCUGACGCUGAGACGCGAAAGCCAGGGGAGCGAACGGGG